CCUGCAGCAGGCAAUGUACUUGUCAAUGCCGAAGGUACCCAAAUUAAGCUGGCGGACUUUGGAUCGGCACAAGCCAUUCAGGAAGAUAGACCGCGCUGUUUCGAUGAUAUCUGGCAAAUAGGUUGUCUCCUGUUAUUCAUGUUGACGGGCAAAAUUUCGCCCCUUUCUGAUGAAAGGGACCCAGAUGAAUAUGAAAGACUGAAGGCAGUCAAACCUGAGAAAAACUUCCCUCCCCAAGCAUCUAAGGAAAUGCUUGAGUUGCUGAAUUUAAUUUUUGGGGUUGGUCGAAAACAGCUGCCUAGUGCAGCAGAAAUAUUGCAUGAUUUUGCAACUAUUUUAAAAAAAAAUUGGCACGCACAGCAUCUACAUAGGUAGUGAUGUCCCCUCAAGAGUUGAUGGUCGGAAACACCAGUUUAGGAAAGAAACAAGCAAGAACGGUUUACGUAAGAGUAUUGUUGUCACCACAGGGUUACUCGGAGGUUUUCUCUAUUUGUUUUAUCAUUAUCUUUAUGGUAAACUCAUCGAUAUUCAUGAUCAA